rnacentral:rRNA from 1 species
UUCCGGUUGAUCUGCCGGACCCGACUGCUAUCAGAGUGGGACUAAGCCAUGCGAGUCAACGCAGUAAUGCGUGGCAUACGGCUCAGCAACACGUAGUCAACAUGCCCAGGGGACGUGGAUAACCUCGGGAAACUGAGGAUAAACCGCGAUAGGCCAAGGUUUCUGGAAUGGACAAUGGCUCAAACCUAUAUGGCCUCUGGAUUGGACUGCGGCCGAUCAGGCUGUUGGUGAGGUAAUGGCCCACCAAACCUGUAACCGGUACGGGCUCUGAGAGGAGGAGCCCGGAGAUGGGCACUGAGACAAGGGCCCAGGCCCUAUGGGGCGCAGCAGGCGCGAAACCUCUGCAAUAGGCGAAAGCUUGACAGGGUUACUCUGAGUGAUGUCCGCUAAGGGCAUCUUUUGGCACUUCUAAAAAUAGUGUAGAAUAAGGGGUGGGCAAGUCUGGUGUCAGCCGCCGCGGUAAUACCAGCACCCCGAGUGGUCGGGACGAUUAUAGGGCCUAAAGCAUCCGUAGCCGGUUCUGCAAGUCUUCCGUUA